CACGUAGGGGGCGAGCGUUGUCCGGAUUUAUUGGGCGUAAAGAGCUCGUAGGCGGUUAAGUAAGUCGGGUGUGAAACCCCCGGGCUCAACCCGGGGACGCCACCUGAUACUGCUUUGACUGGAGUCCGGUAGGGGAGCGUGGAAUUCCUGGUGUAGCGGUGAAAUGCGCAGAUAUCAGGAGGAACACCAGCGGCGAAGGCGGCGCUCUGGACCGGUACUGGACGCUGAGGAGCGAAAGCGUGGGGAGCGAACAGG
rnacentral:rRNA from 1 species